GCCACCAUCCCCACGCCCCCACUCCCUCUCCCAUCCAUCCACCCACCAUCGCCGGCGCCGGCCCGCCGCCGCGCCGCCCCCGCUCCGGGAACCGGCCGCCGCUUCCCUCCCAGUCCGCGCCGCCGCUGCCGUUUCCCUCCCCGGACUGCGCCGCCGCUGCCGUCACCCUCCACGGAUCAUGCCACCGCCGCCUCCCUCCCCUGAUCGCACCGCCACCGUCCGCCGCUAGCUACCGCUGCCUGUGCAGUCCUUUGCUAGCUGCCGCUGCAGUCCACCGCUAGCUCUUGCGGGGGAGGCGGUGCUGCUCCGGCUACCCAUGCGUCACUGGCUGCCGCCGCGAACGGCGUCCGGACGCCAUCACGUACUGCCCCCCGGUGCCGCCUCCAGCGCGUACCCGUUACAGCCUUGGGAAAAACCUCCUCCACGUGGGCGACUGGCCGCUCAAACUUCCCCUCGCCGGCCAUCGUGGGCCUCUGUAUCCUGUCAUGGCGGCUCCUCCCCUGUGGCACAAGCAGGUCAACUGCGGCUGGAUGAGACUCGAAAAAUGGUGAUACGUACUAGAACAAAUACUCCUGGCAUACCCAUGUCGUUGGCAGCAGAAGAUAUUUCAGUUACUAGUUCUUCCAUAUGCUAGAGGAGUUUCUUUCAAUCCACCGUGAGCAGAGCUCGUGGCAUCAAUUCUUUAUUUUUUGUGUGUGAAAAUUUAUGAGCAGGAAGGAAUAGUUCUGCCCGAUGAGCAGUUCCAAUUGAGUUCUCCCUACAGAUAGUUUGACUUCUAUUUCCAAGCUUUAAGCUAUCCUAGAUAUUUGAUUAGUACUCCACCUUGCAAGCAAGGAUGCUCUGAAAAUGAAACACGUGAUGUUUGAUACACCUUGGUACACCACGGCUCAAGUUCUCUGCAUUUUUUGUUAAAGGUCAUCGGGCUGGGCACGGGCUGCUUAUAUGUUGUACGCCUUGGGCGUCCCUGUGCUGGUGAUGAGCGUGAUGGCCGUGCAUUGACCUGCAUCGCCUGUCCCAACUGUGCCGGCCAUGCGUCCGACGACCUCGUCCAUCCCUGAUCACCUCUUCCGCGCAAUCAGGCGCACAUACACAGACAUGCCUGUACUAUAUUAUACUUGAACUUCAGAGCUUCUGAACUCUCUGAAUCUGUGUGCAUGUUUUUAUAUUGUGUCAUUGCAUAGCUCCACCACUGAAUUUGGAAAUUCAGUCAAUGCUUAAACUUGAUAAAAAAGAGCAAGAAACAGUGACAUAUUAUGUGUGUUUUUCACGGAAGUGAGCUGAGAAUUUAGAUGUUCCUUUUCAUAAUAUUAAGGGCAUCGAUCAUUCAACUAUUUAUGUUAUCCUUCAUGCUCUGACUUGAGUGAAGUUAUGUGAACUAGCAUAGUAUAUUGUAAUUUUCUGAUUUUGAGUCGUGGCAUAUAGUCCUCACACAAAGUAGUUGCAAAAUAUAUUGAAGUAUAUUAUGCACAUAGUUAUCCUCCCUAAUGCCUAAACUGGUACAUUUUCAAUCUUUUUGCUGACUACUAAACAUAAUUAUUGUAGGUCUUCCCUGACCCAUGGUCACGUGAAAGCGACGCUGCUCCGACAAGCUCCUCCGUCCCCCGAGCACAGUGCUGUCCAUGAUGGUCUCCUCCCUCCUGUUCCCUCAGCGAGGAUGAUGUCACCUUUUUGCGAAACAUAAAGUUAUGUAGUUCUUCAGUAUAUGUCCAUAGAAACCUAUGACAAUUUCUUCAGUAGCAGUUCAACAAAAAAUCCUGUUGUAGUUCUUGAGUAUUGUUCCAUUAGAAUUUCAUGUUAUCUAAGUAUUUUUAGUACUUGCUAUUGCAGAUAAGUGUUUGUUAGAAUUGUCAUUCUGUCAGUAAAGUACCAUUCUUUAGUAUAUGUUCUGAAAAUUUCAUCUUUUGUGUGCCUGGUGUGAAUUGUUGGUCUUCUCUCACUUUUGCUCCUGAAUUAGAGGUAGCAUGUUGAUUUUCGCACUUGAUGAAGAACAUAUCCUAAAAUGUGAAAAAAAUGUUCCCCAACGAAUAAUUUAUUGUUCGUAAAGAUCUAUUUUCUUCCAGAGUGAUGAAUUUUUUCUCCUAAACAAAGAACUUUAUGUUCCUAAAUGAGGAGGUAGUAUAGGGAACUACAUGUACGUGUUUUUCCGAAAACUUUAUUAAACCAUUUUUGAUUUUAUUAAACCAUUUUUCUGAAGUAUACGGAACUUCAUGUACGUGUUACUCCUGAAACGAGAUGAAACUUUGUGUGUACAAUUUUUUAAUAUACCAUAUUGAUUGAGAACUAAAAAGGGCAUGCUUUUUUAAUAAUGUAAAAGUUCAACGACUUCACCUAGAAAGUUCAAAAGACAUUAUUUUUGAGGGAGAACGCAUCGUGCCUAGAAGAUGCAUAUGGAAUAAAAUGUAAAUCCGUAAUGAAGUUCAUAUAUAAAAAAAAUUGAAGUUCGCAUAGAGAAAAAAGGUGCAUUUCUGAAGAAAAAAAGGUAUAUGUUUUGUGAUUCCAGAUGCUUAUAUGGUCUUCCUGUGACACUGAAAUCUUUUUCAUUUUAUUAGGUGAGUCAAAUUUUUGUGUGGAUGUGCCGUGCAUGUGCUUGUGCGUAGUACACUGAAUAGAACAAAAAUAAUAAUAUUAUAGGUGUCGUGGUUCUAAGUCUGACAGUAGAAUAAGGGGUAGGUAUGGAGAGGCAAGAUCCUAACUAUGGAGCAGUUGUGCACACAGGUGUUUUACCAAUUCAGGCCCUUCUCGGAGGAGUAACAACCCUACGUCUCGGAGCCCGGAGGCGGUCGACUGGAUUAUGUGUGUGAGAGUUACAGGGGUGCGAACCCUUCUAUCAGUGGAUGGGGGUGGCUUAUAUAGAGGACGCCAAGACCCAAGCCAGCCCACGUAGCAGAGGGUUAAAGUACAGUAAGGUCUGGCGUUACUGGUAACGCCCUACAUAAAGUGUCAUCAUGACCAUUAAGACUACUUAAUUACAGACCGUUUGGAUACAGAGUAGAUCCUGAACUCCUGGUGGUUGAGUGAGUCUUCAUGGUCGAGUGUCUUCAGGUUCGUCGAGUGUCUUCUAGUCCGUCGAGUGGAGUUCCUCUUGGUCGACUGGAAGACAGCUUCUUCUAAGAGAUGUCCUUGGGGAGGGUACCUUGGUCAGGUUCAUGACCCUACCCUAGGUACGUGACUCCAUCAGUAGCCCCCGAAUGGAUCGAGGUUUGAGUGAGGAAGGAGUUGGCAAUCUUUCCGACCUGCUUUUUGGUGUUGUAAGGGUGUUUUGCUCUGGAUCAGUGACUUUCAAGUGAGGGUGUCAACUUUCGUUCAGUCGCCUUGAUCCAUUCUUUAUAUCUGUCGAGUGAACUUUAUGAACUUGGAGAUUUCCGAGCGACGGAUCGCAGGAGAUCUUCCGUCUGACAAGUUGCCCUGUGGUUAGCGGAUUUAGUGGGAUCCGAAUUUUGGGAAGCGCGCGAAGCGGAGAAGAUCGCGGUACUCGGAUGGGAUAAGGCAGGGGCGCCUCGAUUCUCGCGCCGCCUUUUUCGCCACGUAUCGCUUGCGCGACUGUUUCGGGAUUUGACAGGAUCGCCUGGGCCUACCUGUCGGCCACACGGAAGUGACUCCAAUAAGGAAACCGGUGGAGGUUUUUUGAAUAGUGCCUCCUCAUUUUCUCCUCCCUCGCCUCCAGAUUCAUCCGCUGCGCCCACCAACUGCCCGACGCCGCUGCUCCGUUCCGGCCUCGUCGGCGACAAUGGUGAAAGAGAAGACGGCGGCUUUGGAGCGGGCGAAGAAGGCGACGGCGGCGGCGAAAGUGAAGGGGAGAGCGACCAGUCGAGGGGGAUCCUCGUCGCGGUCCCGUUUGCCGCAAGGUUGGAUCCAGGGUGAUUGGAUCCGCUCGACCAUCACCCAAAAGGAUCUCGACGACCUGGCCGACGAAGGCCUGAUUGCGCACGGGGCGGCGAGGCUCCCGGGGAUGGAGUGGCAGCCACAGCCUCAGGAGGGUGAGUGUGUCUUCUUGGCGACUCAUGUAGAUCGAGGGUUCUCUCUGCCACCGCAUCUUUUCUUUCGUGGGUUCCUGAAUUUCUUUGGAGCUCAGCUUCACCACCUUACCCCCAAUUCCAUUGCCUAUCUCUCCGCCUUUGUAUCUUUGUGUGAGAACUUCUUGGGUUGUCGGCCGCACUAGGGCCUCUUCAAACACAUAUUCACUUGUCGUUCUCAGACGGUGAAAAAGGCCAGCCCUAAUGACGAGAGAACUCAGGUCAUCCGGAUGUGUGGGGGUCUCGGGGUCCAGAUGAGGAGUAAGAGCGCUUUCCCAGCUAUGACCCUUCCCGAGUCAGUCAGAGGGUGGCAGUCGACCUGGUUCUACUGCCAAGACCAGUCGACGCCAGGGCAGUCGACUGGGCUCCCUCCCUUCUCUAUGAGUCGAGUGAACAAGCCAUCCUCUCUGAAAGUAGUUCUGGAGGAGAAGGCUCAGGUAAAAAUGUUGAUGGAGCGUGUAGUCCAGUUGAUUCGUGACGGUGUGACUGGCAUGGACCUUCUGGAGGUUUUCCUUCGGCGGCGCAUCCAACCGCUCCAGUACCGGGGCCACCUGAUGUGGUUGUAUUCUGGUACUGAAGACACCAGUCGGGUCCACCCAGAGGAGGUCGAUGAUGCCACACUGGAGAGGUGGAUGAUUGCCAUCACAGGGAACAAGGACAACCCUCAUGGAGCCAGGAGGAUCCCGCCACUCGACCAAUCCUAUGAUCCGGACAAGGUACGACCAUUCUUCUCCGAUUGUUCCGUCCGUUCUGUUUCAUCGUAGAUCAGUCGAUUGACUUUUGUCUUGCUUGUUGUUUUUCAGGAAACCACCGAGUUGUACUCGAUGCCCAACGGGGCGCAAGCACAGGCCGAAGAGGAGGAAGGAAGCGGAGGCGGAAGUCAAGAGGAGUGGGAGUCGGAUGCCGAUGAGGGUGAUGAAGACGCAGGCUCCGACGAGGAGGAAGAGGAGGAGGAAGAGGAGGAGGAAGUUGCGCCUCCUCGUUCCGAAAGGAGGUCCAAGCUCGCCCACGACCCUGCGACUGAUCGUGGCAAGGGAGUCGUGCCUGCGGGGCAGUCGACGAAACGCCCUCGGACAACUUCACCGGCGCUGACUGAGAAGGCGUCGAAGCAACCCCGAGUGGCCCCGUCAAAACCGGCGAAGGCCCUACCGAAGAUGAGGAUGGAGAUUCCGACUAUUUCUGGGUAACGACAUAGCUCAUGUUUUUCAUACUUGGUCGACUUCAAUCGCUGACCGACCGAUAUUUGAAACCACCGUGCUGCUACUUCUGAGACUUCUACUAGGCAUGAUGAUCAAGAAAUGGAAGAUGCUGCUACUUCUCAUCCUGGUAUGAUCUGCACGCUUUUGCUUUUGGUCGAUUGAAUCUUUAUUUUUGACUUUGAACUUCUUCUGCAGCUCCACCUAGCGUUGUCAUCAAUCUCCCUGACGAUGACGAUGAAGCGCCACUGAGGCAGAGGAGGAGCAGGAAGGCGACUACUGGCAAGGCUUCUCAGGUUGUGUCAGCGCCUGGACCACAGAUUCCAGAAGGGAGCAACGUCGCUCGGGCUACCGUGUCCUUUGCGGAGCUGUUGACGGUUGCCCGCCCUUCGUCGUCGAGUGCUGACCCGCUUUCUCUCUUCACCACCUACCACGUCCCGGAGGACCAAGCAAGCGUUGCCAAGGAAGCCAUACGCCAGGCCGGGAUUAUGAUGGAGCAGGUGAAGGCGAUCCGAACCGCCAGCCAAGCAGCUUAUGACGCGAGUUCAGCUCUCCAGAGUAAUGUCCAGGUUAGUUAAACAUCGACUGGAAAUCUUGAUGUUUGUCAUGCACCCACUGGGUGUGUCAAUUCUACGGUGGACUGCUGGCAGUCGACUGUAGUCUUUGUGUCUUGAGAUUUCUCACUUGACUUGUUUCACUCGAGCAUGGUCGAGUGGAACAAUAAAACUGGUGGGGGCACGCUGAGUGCACCCACUGGGUGUAGUCCCCGAGACCGUGGUCGAUUGUUGGCAAUCGGCUAUGGUCUGAUUUUUUUGCUGCUGACAGUUAACUGCUUCCGGUCGACUGAUCGACUCUGAGUCUAUCUGAUAGAACUAGUGGGGGCAUGCUGAGUGCACCCACUGGGUGUAGUCCCCGAGACUAUAAUUGAAUGUUUAGAUUCAGCUGUAGUCUUAGAAAUACUACGAUUUUUCCUUUAGUCACUCAGAAGUGAUCUGUCUUUGAUGUUUGUCGACUGAACUUUGCAGAAAUCUUGCGAUCUUGUUUCCCGUUAUACCGAGAUGGAGAACAAGUAUAUCCAGCUUGAACUUGACCUGAAGCUUGUCCAAGAGAACUUCGCGAAGUCGAAGGAGGAGGCAAAAGGUAUGUUUGGUGAGAAUCUUGACGACUGUCUUUGCUUCUUGCCUGUCUCCGAGUCCGAUCUUAUUGCAAUUUUGCAGAAAAACUGAAGGAUGCUCUGAAGAAGAACGACCUCGACCCCGCCGAGGCACAGAAAGCGGCUUCGGACAAGACAAAACUUGCAGAAGAGAAGUUGGCUUCUGUCAGCAAGUUUGAAGAGGAAAACACUAAUCUGAAAGCUGCUCUGGACGUGGCCAACCAAGAAGUCACUCGACUGAGGAAUGCCAACAUGGUCCUGGAUGACAAAGCUGGCGAACUAGCAGGAAAGAAGAAUGACUUGGAGGUUUAUCUGGGAUGACUCGCCAAGAAGCUAUUACUAAUGCUCGAAGGUAACCCCUUAUCUCCGAUUGGUAAUUACCGACUUGCUGUAAGGGCAUUAGCUUAUCCUUGAAUCGCGUCUACAGAAUUCUGCCAAUACUUUGAAGAGGAGACUAGUCGAGUGGAGACUAGCUUGGAUCCCAUCAAUUCUCCGGUGAAGGAUGAAACCGCUAUGAACGUGCUCUGCCUCGAGUCUCGCGUUGCUGCAGUGGUCGACUACCUUGCAAGACUGAAGGCCGCAACGUCGAGCAUCGACACAUCGCUCUGGCUAGAAGAAACAGUUCAGAACGACCUUGAGUCACUGAUGACUCGACUGAACGAAAUUCCGAGUCAAGUGCAAGAAUGGAAGAACUCUUCUGCCAGGUGCGGUGCUGACGUCGCUCUGUCCUUGGUCCGCGGCCACUGCAAGGAAGCGAGAGAAGACAAGCUGGUGUCUCUCAAGGUGGCCAACACUAGGAAGCAUGACUUCCGUUCUUUCAUGGAGACCUUCAUCGCGGCUGCCACUCGGAUCGCAGAUGGGAUCGACCUGGACGAGUUUGAUGCGCCUUCCAGUCCUCCGUAGGAGGGGUAAAAAACUUCUAUGCUCGAUGAUUUGAAUUUGCCUCGGAAUGCCGAGUGAUUUUUGUAACCACCAAACUUUAACAGGCUUGAUGCCUGGGCACUGCUGGGUCCGUAGGACGUUGUCCGAACUUGAUUUGCCGUUGAAAUACGUUUGCUUCUUUCGGAUAACUAUCUUCUUUGGGUUAGAACAUAUGCUAGCAUCUGCAAUGCUCUUUUGCAGGUAGGAGUGAAGCACAAAUAACAGUUGACUUGUGCUCGUCGUGUUUGGGCGAGUGUUGGGUUGCAACCAAGCCUCCGGGUGAGAAACUGGUUCUCCACUCGGAAGGAUUUUAGAAACUUAGGCGAGCACUGAGCUGCAGCUAAGCCUCUGAGUGGGAGGUUUGCUCUCCAUUCGGUAGGAAUUUAGAAACUUAGGCGAGCACUAGGCUGCCGCUAAGCCCCCGAGUGGGAGGUUUGCUCUCCACUUGGCAGGAUUUUAGAAACUUAGGCGAGCACUGGGCUGCAGCUAAGCCCCCGAGUGGGAGGUUUGCUCUCCACUCGGUAGGAUUUUAAAAACUUAGGCGAGCACUGGACUGUAGCUAAGCCCCCGACUAGGAGGUUUGCUCUCCACUCGGCAGGAUUUCAAANNNNNNNNNNNNNNNNNNNNNNNNNNNNNNNNNNNNNNNNNNNNNNNNNNNNNNNNNNNNNNNNNNNNNNNNNNNNNNNNNNNNNNNNNNNNNNNNNNNNNNNNNNNNNNNNNNNNNNNNNNNNNNNNNNNNNNNNNNNNNNNNNNNNNNNNNNNNNNNNNNNNNNNNNNNNNNNNNNNNNNNNNNNNNNNNNNNNNNNNNNNNNNNNNNNNNNNNNNNNNNNNNNNNNNNNNNNNNNNNNNNNNNNNNNNNNNNNNNNNNNNNNNNNNNNNNNNNNNNNNNNNNNNNNNNNNNNNNNNNNNNNNNNNNNNNNNNNNNNNNNNNNNNNNNNNNNNNNNNNNNNNNNNNNNNNNNNNNNNNUGGGAGGUUUGCUCUCCACUCGGUAGGAUUUUUAGAAACUUAGGCGAGCCCUGGGCUGCAGCUAAGCCCCUGAGUGGGAGGUUUGCUCUCCACUCGGUAGGAUUUUCAUGGUACGGCUUUGGGGGAGAAGGUAGCAGUCGCCUGCGCUUCGUCCUCCUUGCGGAACGCAUGUUGUGUUUGUGAUGUAGCUCGGAAGGAGGAAGCAGGGGUCGACCUGCGCCUCGUCCUCCUUACGAAGCGUACGAUGUCUUUUAUUCUUAGGCGAACACAAGGUUGCAGCUAAGCCCCCGAGUGGAAGACUGGCUUAUCACUCGGUAGGAUUUUCAAGAUCUUAGGCAAGCACUUGGUUGCAGCUAAGCCUCCGAGUGGAAGGCUGGCUUACCACUCGGUAGGAUUUUGUUUACUUAGGCGAAACGUAUUCGCAGCUAAGCCUCCGAGUGGAAGGCUGGCUUACCACUUGAUAUGAUUUUUUUACUUAGGCGAAACGGAUUCACAGCUAAGCCUCCGAGUGGAAGGCUGGCUUACCACUCGGUAGGAUUUUUUUUACAAGCUUAGGCGAACCGGGUUCGCAGCUAAGCCACCCGCUGGGGGACCGAUUUAUGAGAGUAAAAAGCAAUGAAAAUUACUAAGAAAAUUAUGAAUCUCUUGUCUUUGAUGAAUAUACUACAGGAGUACUUUUUAUUACAACUCAUCCGAGUGAAAAACUUAAGUAUAAAAAGGGCGAAGCAGGUCCGCGUUCCAUGCUCUGGGCUCAUCAAUCUGGUGCUCGACAUUGUAAAGGAGGUAUGCCCCAUUAUGGAGGACCUUGGUGACGAUGAAGGGACCUUCCCAAGUGGGAGCAAGCUUGUGUGGUUUCUGCUGAUCCACUCGGAGAACUAAAUCUCCCUCCUGGAAAGCUCGACUCCUCACAUUUCUGGCAUGGAAACAACGCAAGUCCUGCUGGUAAAUGGUCGAUCGGAUCAAGGCCAUCUCUCUUUCUUCUUCUAGAUGGUUGACCGCAUCCUGUCGGGCUUGCUCUACUUCAGCUUCGGUGUAGAGUUCGACUCGGGGCGCGUUGUGAAGCAGGUCACUCGGCAAGACUGCUUCAGCUCCGUAUACUAAGAAGAACGGAGUCCUCCCCGUCGACCGGUUUGGCAUGGUCCUUUAUCCCCAAAGUACUGACGGAAGUUCGUCGACCCAUGCGCCGACUGCGUGCUUGAGGUUGCGCAUCUGUCGGGGUUUCAAUCCUUUGAGAAUUAAGCCAUUUGCUCGUUCUGCUUGUCCAUUCGACUGAGGGUGGGCGACUGAAGAAUAGUCGACUCGUGUACCCUGAGAUGCGCAGAAGGCUCUGAAUUCUUCGGAGUCGAAGUUUGACCCAUUGUCUGUGAUGAUGCUGUGGGGAACUCCAUAUCUGAAUACCAACUCUCUGAUGAAGCUGACGGUGGUGCCGGCAUCCAGAUUCUUGAUGGGUUUAGCCUCGAUCCACUUAGUGAACUUGUCGACUGCUACCAAUACAUGGGUGUAGCCGUUUCUGCCUGUCCUCAGUGGUCCAACCAUAUCCAACCCCCAUAGAGUGAAAGGCCAGACGAGUGGAAUGGUCUUCAAGGCUGAGGCGGGUUUGUGCGACAUAUUGGAGUAGAAUUGACAUCCUUCACACUUGUCAACUAUCUCUUUCGCCAUCUCAUUUGCUCUGGGCCAGUAAAAACCUGCUCGGUAUGCUUUAGCCACGAUGGCCCGAGAGGAUGCAUGAUGGCCACAAGUCCCCGAGUGGAUGUCGUUGACAAUCAUUCGACCUUCCUCUGGUGUUAUGCAUUUCUGGCUGACUCCAGUCGCACUUUCUCUGUAUAACUGUCCCCUCAUGACGGUGAAGGCUUUGGAUCGGCGGACGAUCUCUCGAGCCUCUUCUUCAUUCUCACGGAGCUCUUUCCUCAGAAUAUAGGCGAUAUAGAGCACUGUCCAGUCGGGAGUGAUGACCAGAACUUCCAUGAUCAAGUCGACCACAGCUGGGACCUCGACUUCAGUCGGAUCCGUGGCGCUUUUUGGCCGCGGGGCUUCCUCGGUGAAAUGAUCUUCUUGAACCGACAGCGUGUGAACAUGCUUUAAGAACACACCACUCGGAAUGACUUCUCUCUUGGAACCUAUCUUCGCCAAGUCAUCGACUGCUUGAUUUUUCAGUCGGGGAACAUGAUGGAGCUCUAAUCCCUCAAAUUUCUUCUCCAGUUUUCUGACUGCAUUGCAGUAACCAGUCAUGGCUGGGCUUCUGACGUCCCACUCCUUCAUCACCUGGUUGACCACUAAGUCCGAGUCACCAUAGACCAUGAGGCGACGAACGCCGAGUGAAAUGGCCAUACGCAACCCGUACAAGAGUGCUUCAUAUUCCGCUUCAUUGUUGGAGGAAUCAAAGUGAAUCUGGAGUACAUAUCUGAGCUUAUCUCCUCGGGGGGAAACCAAGACCACUCCGGCACCGGAACCAUUCAACAUUUUGGAGCCAUUGAAGAACAUAGUCCAGUGCUCCGAUUGAACUUGGGUCGGUAACUGCUGUUCAGUCCACUCGGCGAGGAAAUCUGCUAUUGCUUGGGACUUGAUAGCUUUCUUUGCCUCAAAUCUCAUAUCUAGGGGAAGAAGUUCAAUCGCCCAUUUUGCCACUCGACCGGUUGCGUCUCUGUUGUGCAGAAUCUCUGAUAAGGGGGCGUCGGUGACGACUGUGAUAAUAUGGUCAGAGAAGUAGUGAGCAACUUUCUUCGUGGUCAUGUAAAUCCCAUAUACAAGCUUCUGAUAAUGAGGGUAUUGUUGCUUGGAUGGGGUCAUGACUUCGGAAAUGUAAUACACUGGGCGCUGAACUUUGAAGGCUUUCCCUUCUUCUUCUCGCUCGACCGUAAGUACAGUAUUGACGACUUGUCCUAUGGAUGCAAUGUAAAUCAGAAAAGGUUCUUUGCUGAUUGGGGCAGCAAGCACCGGCUGGGUGGAAAGCAGGGUUUUUAACUCUGCAAACGCUGCAUCAGCUUCUGGAGUCAACUCGAACUUGUCUGACUUCUUCAUCAGUCGGUAAAGAGGCAAUGCCUUUUCACCGAGGCGAGAGAUGAAUCGACUUAGCGCGGCCAAGCAUCUAGUAAGUUUCUGGACAUCAUGCACACGUACGGGGCGUUUCAUUCGGAGUAUAGUGCCAACUUUUUCUGGGUUGGCAUCGAUUCCUCGUUCAGAAACGAGAAAACCGAGUAACUUUCCGCCAGGAACUCCGAAUGUGCACUUUCAUGGAUUAAGCUUGAUAUCAUACCUCCUGAGGUUGGCAAAUGUUUCAGCGAGGUCAGUCAGCAGGUCGGAACCUUUCCGAGACUUGACCACAAUGUCAUCCAUGUACGCUUCCACAUUCCGACUGAUUUGAGUGAGCAAACACUUCUGAAUCAUCCUCAUGAACGUGGCUCCGACAUUCUUGAGGCCGAAUGGCAUGGUGACAUAACAGAAGCACCCGAAUGGGGUGAUCAAAGCCGUUUUGAUCUCAUCGGGUCCAAACAGAUGGAUCUGAUGGUACCCGGAAUAAGUUUCCAAGAAAGAAAGUCGCUCACAUCCUGCAGUCGAGUCGACUAUUUGGUCAAUGCGGGGAAGAGGAAAAUGAUCUUUCGGGCAGGCUCGAUUGAUAUGCUUGAAAUCGAUGCACAUGCGAAGUGAAUUAUCCUUUUUGGGGACCAUGACGACAUUGGCGAGCCACUUGGAGUGGUAAAUCUCUCGGAUAAACUCUGUUGCUAGGAGCCGAGCCACUUCUUCGCCAAUGGCUUUCCUUUUCUGGACGGCGGACCAUCGCAGAUGUUCCUUCACAGGUUUUGCCUUUGAAUCGACUCGUAGAUGAUGCUCAGCCAGUCCCCUGGGUACACCCGACAUGUCAGAAGGUUUCCAUGCAAAGAUGUCCCAGUUCUCACGGAGGAACUGGAUGAGCGCUUCUUCCUAUUUGGGGUCGAGUGUUGUGGAGAUAUGAGUCGAAGCAGCGUUAGGGUCGGUCGGGUGGAUGUGAACGGGUUUUGUCUCACCGGACGACUGAAACGCUGAUUCCAUAGCAGGCUUCUUGGCUCGCAACAAAUCACUCGGGUCUGCGUUCCUUUGGUGUUCCUGCCACUCUUCUGCCACCAUCUGAGCAUCGGCGAUCUUCGAGCCUUUAUGGAAGCACUCUUCUGCCUUCUUGCGGUUACCAGUGACAGUGAUCACGCCUUUAGGGCCAGGCACCUUUAGUUUGAGGUACACGUAACAUGGUCGAGCCAUAAAACGUGCAUAAGCUGGCUUGCCCAAAAUUGCAUGAUAGGCACUCUGGAAAUCCACAACCUCAAAUGUCAGCUUCUCUUUGCGGAAAUUCUUUGAAUCACCAAAAACUACGUCAAGAGCAAUCUGGCCGAGUGAUGCGGCCUUCUUGCCAGGGAUGACUCCGUAAAAACUCAUGUUGCUUGUGCUCAGCCUGGACAUCGGAAUGCCCAUCCCUUUCAGUGUCUCAGCAUACAGUAUAUUCAAACUAUGCCGCCGUCCAUCAGCACUUUGGUCAGUCGAGUGCCUUCAACGACGGGAUCGACCACCAGCGCUUGCCUCCUAGGGGUGGCUAUGUGCAUGGGGUGAUCAGAUUGGUCGAAUGUAAUGGCAGUCUGAGACCACUUCAGGUAAUUGGGUGUUGACGGAGCAACCAUAUUCACCUCUCAGUUUAUAACUUUCAGUCGGUUUUUGCUCUCAACAUUGGCAAAAAUCAUCAAGGUGGAAUUGACCUGCGGAUAUUCCUCAUCACUAUCCUCCUUGUCCUCGACCUUGUCCGACUCUUUUUCCUUGUCCUUUGGCUGCUUCCCUUGGAACUGCUGUAGCAGGAGUCGACACUGUCGAGUGGUAUGCUUCGGGUAGAUGAAAUUACCCUCUUCGUCUUUCUUGGUGUGGAUGUGACAUGGUAAAUCCAACACGUCAUUUCCUUCUUUAUCCUUUACUUUCUUGGGGUUCCAAGGCCCCUUGGGUUUCCCUUUGAACUUUCCUUGGUUCAGGGCCAAGGCUUCUCCAGGAGCGGCUGGCUCGGCUUUACGCUUUUGCUUCCGACUGGAAUUUCCGGUGUCCUGGGCGACUGACUUGUGCUUGCCACUCCGGAGACGAUCCUCUUCCUCACCAUUGGCAUAUUUGGUGGCUAUUUCCAUCAUUCGACUCAGAGACAUGUCUCCGGUUCGACCGAAUUUCAGGCUUAGCUCUCUGUACUUUACGCCCUCCUUGAAGGCGCAAACUGCCUGGUGAUCAGAUACAUUUUCCACUGUGUGAUGCAGUAUGAUCCAUCUCUGGAUGUAAUCCCUCAGAGUCUCAUUCGACUUCUGUACACAAGAUUGCAGCUCUGUCAGUCCCGCCGGCCGGUUGCACGUUCCUUCGAACGUCCUGACAAACACUCGGGAGAGGUCCUCCCAUGUGUAGAUGCUGCUGGGUGUCAACUGAUUCAGCCAUGCCCUGGCUGACCCUUCCAACAUGAGAGGCAGAUGCUUCAUGGCCACCUCGUCAUUUCCACCCCCGAUCUGAACAGCCACUCGGUAGUCCUCAAGCCAAGUAUCGGGCUUGGACUCACCGUUGAACUUGCUGACUCCAGUCGCCAACCUGAAGUUGGGAGGAAUCACCGCGGCUCUGAUGGCUCUGUUGAAACACUUUGGCCCGGAGACAUGCACUCGGCUGCUGGUGGGUACAUCUCUGUCAUUACCCUCUCUGUGGGCUCUGUUCCGGUCGACCAGACCUUGAACGAUGAUGGAUCUCGCAUCAAAGCCUGGUUCCCUAGGGUCGAGUGGAAUUCUUCGCCCGCCAUUGUACUGGCGUCUGUCAUCCUGCUGUCGAGGCAUAUAUGAUCCACCCCUCCGGGAAGGAGUGGGCACUCGACAUCGAUCGUUGCGAUCGACUCGGUGAUCAUCUUGCUCAUAGUUCUUGUACUGAUCGUGUCGGUCGCCAUGCCCUUCACGCCUCGAGGGCGAUCUGGGGCUAUGAGCUGACUGGACAGUAUUCGCCGCCACGGACCUGCUAUGAAUCCUGUUCCGCGACUGCGACACAGCCGAAUUCUGAUCUCCAGCUGCCCGGAGGAAAUCCCUGAUCUGCAUCAAGCCUCUGCCAGCCUCUGAAUGGGAAGGCUGAAUCGACUCUGCUAUACGUGUUGCAGCUGCCAAAUUCUGGAUUGGAGUGCGGUAUACCUGAGUCGGAGGUUUAAAGAGUUGGCGUCGACUGGAGUCUGGAAUCCGUUGCCGCGCACGCUCAUCGAGUGCCUGCUGAAGGUUCUCCAGUCGAGUGCGCUCAGCCAGGUUGGCCAAGCGCGCGUCCUCCAAGGCGCAAGCCUCAGGGGUUUCUCCAACGAUCGGAGUAUGAAGCGCAUCCAUGUUCCAGCGGCGAAGCUCUUCCCUCUGCUACGAGUCGAGGGGCUCGGGACGGUACUCCUCAUGGUCGUGCGACGGGUCGCCUCCGCCGUUGCCUCCCUCAGCGCCGGGAAAGCCGGGGGGGACGUGCGGCCCAUUGACCAUCAGGACCUCUGCCGCCGGAUCACUGCUGUCGCAUUCGGAUGCAGUCUCUGUGGAGCCAGUCGACAGGUCGAACAUGCCGUAGAGAGAUUCGUCGGGCUCGAUUGCUGCGACUUGGGCAGUGGUCGAUUGACGAGCCACCGCGUGCCUCACCCACCGCUGAGGCCUCGACCGACCGGAGCGCUUACGCUGGCGGGAAGCUGGGAGGGAGGAUGACACGAAAACCGGCCGAUACUGAGUCGACGGUUGCCGUAGAAGGACGCCGCGGACGCAUGCUCGAAAGUGAGUAGCUCCGCGGAUCGGGAGUGCAUCCACGUCGAGCGGAGCCUCCUGCAGCCAGGCAGAGUCGUCGGCGACGAAUGUGAGCGCGCCGAGACGGAUCUCACGACCCUCAACCAAAACUCCACCUGAAACCAUGAUGAUGGGAAUUCAAAAGAUUGCAACUUCUCCAACAAGUCGCUAAGACACCUUCCCCAAGCUGGGCGCCAACUGUCGUGGUUCUAAGUCUGACAGUAGAAUGGGGGGUAGGUAUGGAGAGGCAAGAUCCUAGCUAUGGAGCAGUUGUGCACACAUGUGUUUUACGAGUUCAGGCCCUUCUCGGAGGAAGUAACACCCCUACGUCUCGGAGCCCGGAGGCGGUCGACUGGAUUAUGUGUGUGAGAGUUACAGGGGUGCGAACCCUUCUACCAGUGGAGGGGGGUGGCUUAUAUAGAGGACGCCAAGACCCAAGCCAGCCCACGUAGCAGAGGGUUAAAGUACAUUAAGGUCUGGCGUUACUGGUAACGCCCUACAUAAAGUGCCAUCAUGACCAUUAAGACUACUUAAUUACAGAUCGUUUGGAUACAGAGUAGAUCCUGAACUCCCGGUGGUCGAGUGAGUCUUCAUGGUCGAGUGUCUUCAGGUUCGUCGAGUGUCUUCUAGUCUGUCGAGUGGAGUUCCUCUUGGUCGACUGGAAGAUAGCUUCUUCUAAGAGAUGUCCUUGGGGAGGGUACCUUGAUCAGGUUCAUGACCCUACCCUAGGUACGUGACUCCAUCAAUGGGUGCUCUCUAAAUGUUUGUCCUACUGCUUAGUAGAAUUGACCCAAAAUUUCCUAUUGUUUUUGCACAUGUUGGAUUCAAGGGAAAACGUGUAUAAAAAGGCGUGAUUUCGAAAGUUCAGGUGUAACGAACAUUGAAGUUCAAACCAAAAAAAUGUAAACAAAAAAAAUCAUAGAGUUCAAAGAAUAAAAACUAUGGAGUUUCAUGAAAACAAUUAAUAGCACCCGAAGUUCAUGUUUUAGAAAUUCCUAAGUUCACGUGUACCACGUACAGAAGAAAAAUCAUCAAAUGAAAAAAGGGACCGCCUAGGCCAUUUCAUCGAAAAGAAAAAAAAUGCAUAAAAAUGUCAUGACAAAAUUCUAUAAGAAGUUCAAAUUUAAAAAGCGAAGCAGGUCAAUGUUAAAAAAUGAAGUUGUUAAUAUCUAAAACAUAAAAUUUGAGCAAGAAGUUCAAAACAUUUGAGCAAGAAGUUAAAAGAUAAAGUAGUUCAAAAAUCUUUAUAACAGAUUUUCUCCGUUUGUAAAAGAAUCAGAGAAGUUCAAAUUAAAAAGAGGAGCAUUUCAAAAGAUUGUAUAAAAACUGAUUUUCCCCAUUCUAUAAAAACUAGAAGUUCAAAUUAAAAUAACGGUGUGGUAUCAUUACUUUUAUCAAAAAAGCAUUUUCCCUGUUAUUAACCAAUAAAACUAAGAAGUUGAAGUUUAAAAAACGGUGAAGUUCGAUGGCUAAAAGUGUUGUUGCUAGAAGUUCAAGUGCUCGGCCCGAGAAAGUUCAAAAGUUUUUGUGAGAGAGGUUGAACAAAAAUACGUGACAGAAGUUUAAGGUGAAAACAAUAGGAAGUUCAACUACUACACGAAAUGCUUUCAGAUAAGAAUAUAAGAAUAGAAAACAAAAACCUUAAAAGGUUUGUUGCAAGAAGUUCACGUGCUCCUCCUAGUAUAGUUCAAAAUUCAUGUGCGAGAUGUCCGUCGUUCAUUUACAUGUUGAAAACCCCCGGAAAAACAACGUUGUUUUGCCAUUUUAAAAACUGCUCUCAAACGACAACGAAUUUGUAACACCUGUUCACAUGAAAACCUUGUUGUUAUUCAUAAGAUUUCCAACAGUAUAUUAUGUGCUGCAUUUUGAUGAAUUAAUAUUUUCUUGUAUACCAUUUCAAACAUGUUUUUAUGUAUUCAAAAGAUUAUUAUCUGUUGAAAGAAGUUCAUAGUGAAAACAACGAGAAGUUCAAGUACUGCAAGGAAUGCAUUUCAGGUGAAAAUAGAAGUAUAGAAAAAUAAAAGCUUAAAAGAUUUGUUGAAAGAAGUUCAAGUGCUCUGUCCGGGGAAGUUCAAAAAUUCUUGCGAGAGAGGUUCACCUUGUAUUUUCAUGUUCAAUUUUUUCCAAAUAAAAAUCGAAUACUAUUCUUUACUCAAAAUAUAAAAAGGUGAAGUUCAAAUUGAAAUAACAGAGAAUUUCGGAGUUUAUUAGAACCUAGGAAUUACAUGUUCAAAAAAAUAAAAAACACAAUGCCAUUUUUUGCACUUUUAAAAACAACUCAUAAACGAAAAAAUGGUUGCUAGAAGUUCAAGUGCUCGGUGAGGAAAAGUUUAAAAAAUUCUUGUGAGAGAGGUUCACCAUGUAUUUAGAUGUCCAAAAUACAUAAAAAAAUAUGUUGUUUUUUUGUGUUUUAAAAUAAUUCUCUCAAACUAGAGAGAAGUUCAAAGUGAUAACAACUGGAAGUUCACGUACUACAUGGUAUGUAUUUCAUAUAAGAAAAUUACAAUAAAGUGAAACGGAGUGAAGUUCAAACAGACAUGCCCCAAAAGUUCAACUACUUCACACAGUGCAAAAAAUAGCACAUCAAAAAACAGCACGUCAAAAAUAGAGUGAAGUUCAAACAGACAUGCCCCAGAAGUUCAACUACUUCAUGCAGUGCAAAAAACAGCAUGUCAAAAAAAUAGUGAGGUUCAAACGGACAUGCCCGAGAAGUUCAACUACUUCACGCAGUGCGUUUUCGUUCGUGAUGAAUGCAGAAAUCAUGAUCUCGCCAUUUUCUAAUUUACUUCAAAACGACAGGAAUGUCAUUUGUGUAAGUGCAAGUCCUCGGUCAGAAAAAGUUAAAAAAAUAUUGUGAGAGAGGUUUGUACAAAAGGAAUAUCAUUUGUGUAACACUGACGAAUGGAUGAGAAAAUUACAAACAAAAAUACGUCACAGAAGUUCAAUGUGAAAACAGCAUGAAGUUCAACUACUACGCUGAAUGAAUUUCAGAUGAAAAACUUUUAAAAUUGUUGCGAGGAUGAAAAAAUGAUCAACACGGGAAAGUUGCGUGUUUACAACAACUUUCCAUCAGUAUAUCACUUGCUCAAUUCUGAUGAGUGGAUGGAGAGCUAGGAGCAGUGGUUAGAGAUAUAUGAGCAAAAAGGCACGUGAAAAAUAGAGUGAAGUUCAAGUACACAUGCCGAGAAGUUUAGGUUAUUCACGCGGUGCAUUUUUGAAGAAUCAGUUUUGGGAUAAAGGCAGAAUGAAUGAUCUCGCCAUUUUUGCAAUUACUUGAAAAAAGCUAGGAAUCAGAGAAAACCAUCAACAUGAAAAAGUUUCGCAUUUUCCGUAGAUUUUCAGCGGUAUAUUAUUUGCCCCAUUCAGAUAAAGUAUAUAUAAAUUAUUCCAAAAAUACGUUUUAGCCAUUUUCCAAUUUGACUUAAAACUGUAAGGAAUUGGGAUAAACAAUAUAUACAAAAAAGUUUUGCAUUUCCUCAAGCUUUCCAACGCCAUAUCUUUUGUUGCAUUCAGACGUAAGGUUAAAUAAUUAGCUCGAAACUACGAACUCGGUGGAACUUGUACCGUUUUCUGAAUUACUUUUAAACUGUUCCAAAUUAGAAAAACCUUUUAACAUGAAAAAGUAGCGCAUUUUCACAAGCUUUCCAAUGCCAUAUUAUUUGCCUCAAAUGGAGUACCCGUUUAGAAAUUACAUUGAAAAUACGAACUCGGCUAUUCGGUUUGCAAAAUUUUACGAUUUUCAAAAUUACUCUUUAUCCAUAGGGAAUUAGAGAAAACUUUCAACAUGUCAAAGGAGCGGUUUUGCAGCAGCUUUCGAACGCCAUAUUAUUUACCUCAUUCUGAUAAAUGGUUUAGAAAAUGCGGUCGAAAAUACGAUUCACGUUUUUUGUAUGAAGAAAAAACGGUUUUUAAAACUGCUCUUAAACCGCUUUUAUUUUGCCAAAAAUUUAACAUGGGCCAUGAUAUUGGUGUCCAUAGCUUUCCAACGGUAUAUUGCAGGCUCCAUUUGGACAUAUUUUAGCUAAAGUUCAACCUAGUACACGGGGAAGGUCAGGCGCGUUACUCGGGAAGUUCAUGUUGUGAUCAGAAUAUUAUUCUGAUCCCAUAUAUAUAUAUAUAUAUAUAUAUAUAUAUAUAUAUAUAUAUAUAUAUAUAUAUAUAUAUAAUAUCUGUGUGUGUGUGUGUGUGGCGAAGCCCAUGUGUGGACAGUUGCCCCUGAGACUCUAUUCGAAUUAGAGCAAUCCGAACAGAGGAUCAUUAACAAGUAUAUCAUGCACUGUUUUUUAUAUUUGAUAGGCUUGGCAGCUGGCGGUUACUGCCCAGGAUGUAGAAAUUGCCGAGCUCAAUUGGAAGCUCGGGCUAUCCGAUGAGGAACUCGACCGUACCAACAAGCGGUUUGACAAAACCCAAGGUAUGAGGUAUUUCAGUAUAU
rnacentral:lncRNA from 1 species